rnacentral:lncRNA from 1 species
UUCUACAACUACUAAGAAGUUAAAUGUUAUCUGAACAACAAUAAUUUUCGCGUACCGACCGUCCCUAGUGCAAGUGGCAAAAAGGUUUGAUGGUUGGUACCCGAGAUCCAAGUUCGAAUCCUAGUUAAUUCACAUUUUCAACUAAGUUUAUUUCUAAAUGAAAUAAACGAAGCAGGUAGCAUGCUACCUUUCUCUCUCCAAAAAAAAAAAAAACAAUAAUUUUCGCGUUAUCUCCUUUGCCUAAACAAAUUUAGGCAAACAAAACAAGAUGAUAACAAA